GGCGAACGGGUGAGUAACACGUGGGUAACCUGCCCAUCAGAAGGGGAUAACACUUGGAAACAGGUGCUAAUACCGUAUAACAAUAGAAACCGCAUGGUUUCUAUUUGAAAGGCGCUUUUGCGUCACUGAUGGAUGGACCCGCGGUGCAUUAGCUAGUUGGUGAGGUAACGGCUCACCAAGGCAACGAUGCAUAGCCGACCUGAGAGGGUGAUCGGCCACAUUGGGACUGAGACACGGCCCAAACUCCUACGGGAGGCAGCAGUAGGGAAUCUUCGGCAAUGGACGAAAGUCUGACCGAGCAACGCCGCGUGAGUGAAGAAGGUUUUCGGAUCGUAAAACUCUGUUGUUAGAGAAGAACAAGGAUGAGAGUAAAAUGUUCAUCCCUUGACGGUAUCUAACCAGAAAGCCACGGCUAACUACGUGCCAGCAGCCGCGGUAAUACGUAGGUGGCAAGCGUUGUCCGGAUUUAUUGGGCGUAAAGCGAGCGCAGGCGGUUUCUUAAGUCUGAUGUGAAAGCCCCCGGCUCAACCGGGGAGGGUCAUUGGAAACUGGGAAACUUGAGUGCAGAAGAGGAGAGUGGAAUUCCAUGUGUAGCGGUGAAAUGCGUAGAUAUAUGGAGGAACACCAGUGGCGAAGGCGGCUCUCUGGUCUGUAACUGACGCUGAGGCUCGAAAGCGUGGGGAGCAAACAGGAUUAGAUACCCUGGUAGUCCACGCCGUAAACGAUGAGUGCUAAGUGUUGGAGGGUUUCCGCCCUUCAGUGCUGCAGCUAACGCAUUAAGCACUCCGCCUGGGGAGUACGACCGCAAGGUUGAAACUCAAAGGAAUUGACGGGGGCCCGCACAAGCGGUGGAGCAUGUGGUUUAAUUCGAAGCAACGCGAAGAACCUUACCAGGUCUUGACAUCCUUUGACCACUCUAGAGAUAGAGCUUCCCCUUCGGGGGCAAAGUGACAGGUGGUGCAUGGUUGUCGUCAGCUCGUGUCGUGAGAUGUUGGGUUAAGUCCCGCAACGAGCGCAACCCUUAUUGUUAGUUGCCAUCAUUUAGUUGGGCACUCUAGCGAGACUGCCGGUGACAAACCGGAGGAAGGUGGGGAUGACGUCAAAUCAUCAUGCCCCUUAUGACCUGGGCUACACACGUGCUACAAUGGGAAGUACAACGAGUCGCGAAGUCGCGAGGCUAAGCUAAUCUCUUAAAGCUUCUCUCAGUUCGGAUUGUAGGCUGCAACUCGCCUACAUGAAGCCGGAAUCGCUAGUAAUCGCGGAUCAGCACGCC
rnacentral:rRNA from 1 species